rnacentral:tRNA from 1 species
UUCCCAGUGGCUCAGUGGUAAAGAAUCUGCCUGCAAUGCAGAAGACACUGGUUCCAUCCCUGGGUGGGGAA